rnacentral:lncRNA from 1 species
GAACUCACUACGUACUUUGAUUUCUUGAUGGCUGACUAUGAGUACUGAAAACUCCAACCCGGCAGCGUGUAGUGCUGUGCGCCUCUCCUUAUAGAGUUAAACUCAGCCAGGCCUGCCAGAGAGAAACCCUAAACCGGCGCUACAUUCCUGCAGGAACUCUGUCACAGUCUCAGCUCACACUGGCCUCCAGAUGAACAAGGUGAAGAAAUAGAGAAGGCCAUACCCAUGAGGAAGAGGCUCUUGGCAGACAUGGAAUCUACUGGCACCUUAUUCUUGGAUUCUCAAGCCUCCUAAACACUGAGUGAGUCCAGCUGGACCUGUCAAUCACCUCGCCGGGAGACUACCCCUCAGGAAAACUGAUUCACCUGAAGAUGCUCCAGAGAUGGGGGAAAUAAUUAUUCUCUUAAUGAGAUAACAUGUGUAUACCUCCCUGAGAAGUCCCUCCCUCAAUCCAGCUGUUUGCAGAUCUUUCCUACUAAGACAGCCUGCUUUCCCCAGUUCUAACUCCAAAACUGUAACUUCUCCUUUCCCCUUGUCUCAUCUUUGGCUACUGCCCAAAACCUCAUCCUGCUUGCUUCCAACCUCUGUACACUCUCUUUCUUUAACCCCCUCCAAGCCCCAGUUGCUUGGCCCCCUUCCUUGCCGAACUUGAAACCUACCUCUGAGGGCAUGUCAUUCUCUCCUCUCCAUCUCCCUUUUCCAGGCAGCAGUUGAGGUUUGUAGCUUGCUGAUCUUGUGGUUUACUCUUGAGCACCAAUAAAAGAGUCCACAAGC